rnacentral:rRNA from 1 species
UAGUCCACGCCCUAAACGAUGAAUGUUAGUCGUCGGGUAGCUAGUCUAUUCGGUGAUGCAGCUAACGCAUUAAACAUUCCGCCUGGGGAGUACGGUCGCAAGAUUAAAACUCAAAGGAAUAGACGGGGACCCGCACAAGUGGUGGAGCAUGUGGUUUAAUUCGAAGAUACGCGAAGAACCUUACCUAGCCUUGACAUAUAUUAGAACACUUUAGAGAUAGAGUGGUGCCUUCGGGAGCUUUUAUACAGGUGCUGCACGGCUGUCGUCCGCUCGUGCCGUGAGGUGUUGGGUUAAGUCCCGCAACGAGCGCAACCCCUAUUCUCAGUUGCCAGCAUUUAAGGUGGGGACUCUGAGAAGACUGCCGGCGUAAGCCGAGAGGAAGGUGGGGACGACGUCAAGUCAUCAUGGCCUUUAUGCCCAGGGCUACACACGUGCUACAAUGGUAGGUACAACGGGUCGCGAAGCAGUGAUGUGGAGCCAAUCCCAGAAAGCCUAUCCCAGUUCGGA